rnacentral:rRNA from 1 species
GACGAACGCUGGCGGCGUGCUUAACACAUGCAAGUCGAACGGAAAGGCCCUGCUUUUGUGGGGUGCUCGAGUGGCGAACGGGUGAGUAACACGUGAGUAACCUGCCCCUGACUUUGGGAUAACUUCAGGAAACUGGGGCUAAUACCGGAUAGGAGCUCCUGCUGCAUGGUGGGGGUUGGAAAGUUUCGGCGGUUGGGGAUGGACUCGCGGCUUAUCAGCUUGUUGGUGGGGUAGUGGCUUACCAAGGCUUUGACGGGUAGCCGGGCUGAGAGGGUGACCGGACACGUUGGGACUGAGAUGCGGCCCAGACUCCAACGGGAGGCAGCGGAGGGGAAGGGUGCACAGUGGGCGGAAGCCUGGUGCAGCAACGCCGCGUGGGGGAUGACGGGCAUCGGGUAGUAAACCAAUUUCGCCUUUGACGAGGCGUGAGUGACGGUAAUGGGUAAAUAAGCACCGGCUAACUACGUG